rnacentral:rRNA from 1 species
UACGUAGGGUCCGAGCGUUGUCCGGAAUUAUUGGGCGUAAAGAGCUCGUAGGCGGUCUGUCGCGUCGGCUGUGAAAACUCGGGGCUCAACUCCGAGCCUGCAGUCGAUACGGGCAGACUAGAGUGCGGUAGGGGGAGACUGGAAUUCCUGGUGUAGCGGUGGAAUGCGCAGAUAUCAGGAGGAACACCGAUGGCGAAGGCAGGUCUCUGGGCCGAUACUGACGCUGAGGAGCGAAAGCGUGGGGAGCGAACAGG